GGGGACACCCGACUCCUCGGGAAAUUGUCUGACUGGCAGUCAGAAGUGUGGCGGUUCGAUUCCGUCCGUCUCCACCA
rnacentral:tRNA from 1 species